rnacentral:lncRNA from 10 species
AUUCUCCUGCCUCAGCCUCCCGAGUAGCUGGGACUGCAGGCACUUCCCACCACGACCAGCUAAUUUUUGUAAUUUUAGUAGAGACAGAGUUUCACCAUGUUGGCCAGGCUGGUCUUGAACUCCUGACCUCAAGUGAUCCGCCUGUCUCAGCCUCCCAAAGUGCUGGGAUUACAGGCGUAAGCCACCACGCCUGGCCCAUAACUUCUUUCUUUUAGCAAAGAGUCAUGCACACCUCUUGAAUUUCUUCUCAGCUUUCCUGCCAUCCGUGUGAUUUUGAACGAGGACUCUUAAGAAUACGAGGUGGGACUGGAACUGCUGCAACUGUCCUGCUGCCAGCCUGAGGAUGAAUAUCACAUAGAGUAGAGCGUCUCAGGGGAUGGAGACAGAGCCACUGGAUUGCCUUCCAAAUGUAGUUUGGUCUGACAUUUGCAGGAAGGAGAGGAGGCACAGAAGCAAAUGUUGCCCUUCACCAUUCCCUGAGCCAUCUAUGCCAAAUGGCCUAGAGCACGCAAGACAGAAAAUCUAAGACAACCAAACAAACCAUUUUCCUUCAGAAAGGGAAGUGGAUCCAAAUAGUGUCUUCUGCCCUCUAAUGACCUACCUGCCCCAUGAGCCUCACUCUUCAUUGCCUAGGCCAGCCACCAUUUUGUGAGCUAUCCUAUGAAGAAACCCAUAUGGCAAGAAACUAAGAGCAGCUUCUGGAUAAUAACCAAUGAGGAAGUGAGGCACUCAGUCCAAUAGCUCAUAAGUAACUGAAUCCUGCCAGCAACUACAGCCCCAGCCAAUACCUUGAUUGCAGCCUUGAAAGAAACCCAGAGAAAGAAUGGACCCAACUAGACCAUGCUGUACUUCUGACCCACAGAAACUGUUUUCUAGCCAUGAAGAAAUAAAGAUAGUAGCAAUAUUUGUGGUAGCCAGAAUGGUACUCCAAAGAAGUCCAUGGCCAACUCCUGGAAUUGGAAUAUGUAAGUUUACAGAUAUAAUUAAGGUUACUAACCUUAAAAUAGAGAGAUUUUCCUGUAUUAUCUGGACGGCCAAAUCUAAUCACAGGAGUCCUUAAAAGCAGAGAAUGCCCUCCAGCUGGAGGCAAGAGGAAGGUGGAAUAAGAAGUCACAGAGGUUCGAAUCAGGAGAGAGACUCAACCUGCCAUGUUUAGAACUCCUUGGAAAGCAUGAAAAGAAUGCAGGUGGCUUCUAGGAGCAAAUACCAGUCCUUGGCUGACAACCAGUAAGGUAACAAAGACCUGAGUUCUACAACUGCAAGAAACUGAAUUCAAGAAUUAAACUGAAUGAGCUUGGAAGCAGAUUUCUCCUCAGAGGUGCCAAUAAGGAAUACUGCUCUGCCAACACCUGGAGUUAGGCUUUGUUAAACUUUAGCAAAAGAUCCAGUCAUGCCCACUCAGGCAUCUGACCAACAGAAAUUGUGGUAC